UGCAGUUAAAAAGCUCGUAGUUGGAUUUCUGGGAGGGUGCCAUUGUCCGCCAAAGCGCGUGUGCAGCGGCGCCCUUCCAUCCUUCUGUUAACGCUCUUGGCAUUCAUUUGCUGGUGGCGGGCUCAGAUAUUUUACCUUGAGAAAAUUAGAGUGUUUCAGGCAGGCUUGGCCGGAAUACAUUAGCAUGGAAUAAUGGAGUAGGACUAUGGUCUCUUUGUUGGUUUGAGGGACUGCAGUAAUGAUUAAUAGGGAUAGUUGGGGGCAUUAGUAUUUAAUUGUCAGAGGUGGAAUUCUCAGAUUUGUCAAAGACUAACUUAUGCGAAAGCAUUUGCCAAGGAUGUUUUCAUUAAUCAAGAACGAAAGUUAGUGUAUCUAAGACGAUCAGAUACCGUCCUAGUCUUAACCAAAAACUAUGCCGACUCGGGAUCGGGGGCGAGCACCAUCCGCCUUCGGCACCGUAUGAGAAAUCCAAGUCUUUGGGUUCUGGGG
rnacentral:rRNA from 1 species